CGCAGUCUUGUCAAAUUCAGUGCACCCUCAUCUGGGUGCCACUGGCCAAAAUGGCUGCUACAGUGAAGUUGUGGUUCAUGGGCCCCUCUGUGCUCCUUGGUGGCCUCUGGGGAUAUAAGUGUGCCACUUACAAGU